GGGAGGCUGAGGCAGGAGGAUCACUGUGAGUUGGAGACCAGCCUGGGCUACAAAGUGAGCUCAAGGCCAGCUUGAAAUGCAUAUUGAGGCCCUGUCUUGAAAA